rnacentral:piRNA from 1 species
UCACCUUAUGAUUUGCCAUGAGGAGGCUCA